GACAGAGGUGCCAAGCGUUAGGCGGAAUCACUGGGCUUAAAGCGUGCGUAGGCGGAAUGGUAAGUACCUUGUGAAAUCCCACGGCUCAACCGUGGAACUGCUUGGUAUACUGCUUUUCUUGAGCCACUUAGGGGCAACCGGAACAAACGGUGGAGCGGUGAAAUGCGUAGAUAUCGUUUGGAACGCCAAUGGUGAAAACAGGUUGCUGGGAGUGUGCUGACGCUGAGACGCGAAAGCCAGGGGAGCAAACGGG
rnacentral:rRNA from 1 species